UCCCGGAACAGCUUCUGCCAGAUGGACCAGGCUCUGAGUAACCCUGCCAUCAUGUAAAGUUUGAACUACAGCCAGCCAAGCCAGGAGCUGUCAGAGCAGAGAACACUGCUACCCUAACAGAAGACUCGGGGUGAGAGGGGGAAUCCCAGAUGCCUCAGAAAUACUGGACUUAGAGAGCUGGCAAGAUUGCUCAGUGGGUUAAGACAACUGCUACCAAGCCACCUGAGUUCAAUCCCUAAGACCCACAUGGUGAAGAAGAGAACCAACUCCCACAACUUUUCCUCUGACCACCAUGUGUAUACUGUGUGGCAUGCACAAGCCUCACGCAAGAUGGAUGGAUGGAUGGAUGGAUGGAUGGAUGGAUGGAUAGAUAGAUGAUGAAUGGA
rnacentral:sRNA from 1 species